rnacentral:snoRNA from 1 species
UUAUAUUUUGAUGUGCUGAUAUAAAUACAUGAGUUAAUGUCUGCUGCUAAGGUUUCCACUAAAUAUGCAAGAAAAAGGUCCUCGUGCUUUCUGUCUGGUUGUGGCAGCUAAGACUGAACGGGGAAAUACAGGA